AGAUUGAACGCUGGCGGCAUGCCUUACACAUGCAAGUCGAACGGUAACGGGUUAAGCCGACGAGUGGCGAACGGGUGAGUAAUAUAUCGGAACGUGCCCAGUCGUGGGGGAUAACGUAGAGAAAUUUACGCUAAUACCGCAUACGAUCCAAGGAUGAAAGCGGGGGACCUUCGGGCCUCGUGCGACUGGAGCGGCUGAUAGUCAGAUUAGGUUGUUGGUGAGGUAAAAGCUCACCAAGCCGACGAUCUGUAGCUGGUUUGAGAGAACGACCAGCCACACUGGGACUGAGACACGGCCCAGACUCCUACGGGAGGCAGCAGUGGGAAUUUGGACAAGUGGGCGAAAGCCUGAUCCAGCAAUGCCGCGUGCAGGAAGAAGGCCGUUCGGGUAGUAAACGUGUCUUUUUGGUAACGGAACGAAAGGUCUGACCCUAAGUACGGCGGCUCGAGUCGACGGUACCGUAAGAA
rnacentral:rRNA from 1 species